GACGAACGCUGGCGGCGUGCUUAACACAUGCAAGUCGAACGGAAAGGCCCUGCUUUUGUGGGGUGCUCGAGUGGCGAACGGGUGAGUAACACGUGAGUAACCUGCCCUUGACUUUGGGAUAACUUCAGGAAACUGGGGCUAAUACCGGAUAGGAGCUCCUGCUGCAUGGUGAUGGUUGGAAAGUUUCGGCGGUUGGGGAUGGACUCGCGGCUUAUCAGCUUGUUGGUGGGGUAGUGGCUUACCAAGGCUUUGACGGGUAGCCGGCCUGAGAGGGUGACCGGCCACAUUGGGACUGAGAUACGGCCCAGACUCCUACGGGAGGCAGCAGUGGGGAAUAUUGCACAAUGGGCGGAAGCCUGAUGCAGCAACGCCGCGUGCGGGAUGACGGCCUUCGGGUUGUAAACCGCUUUCGCCUGUGACGAAGCGUGAGUGACGGUAAUGGGUAAAGAAGCACCGGCUAACUACGUG
rnacentral:rRNA from 1 species